UGCUCCCUUAGGUCUAGGCGGACGGGUGAGUAACACGUGGGUAACCUGCCUGUAAGACUGGGAUAACUCCGGGAAACCGGGGCUAAUACCGGAUGCUUGAUUGAACCGCAUGGUUCAAUCAUAAAAGGUGGCUUUUAGCUACCACUUACAGAUGGACCCGCGGCGCAAUAGCUAGUUGGUGAGGUAACGGCUCACCAAGGCGACGAUGCGUAGCCCACCUGAGAGGGUGAUCGGCCACACUGGGACUGAAACACGGCCCAGACUCCUACGGGAGGCAGCAGUAGGGAAUCUUCCGCAAUGGACGAAAGUCUGACGGAACAACGCCCCGUGAGUGAUGAAGGUUUUCGGAUCGUAAAACUCUGUUGUUAGGGAAGAACAAGUACCGUUCGAAUAGGGCGGUACCUUGACGGUACCUAACCAGAAAGCCACGGCUAACUACGUGCCAGCAGCCGCGGUAAUACGUAGGUGGCAAGCGUUGUCCGGAAUUAUUGGGCGUAAAGCGCGCGCAGGCGGUUUCUUAAGUCUGAUGUGAAAGCCCCCGGCUCAACCGGGGAGGGUCAUUGGAAACUGGGGAACUUGAGUGCAGAAGAGGAGAGUGGAAUUCCACGUGUAGCGGUGAAAUGCGUAGAGAUGUGGAGGAACACCAGUGGCGAAAGCGACUCUCUGGUCUGUAACUGACGCUGAGGCGCGAAAGCGUGGGGAGCGAACAGGAUUAGAUACCCUGGUAGUCCACGCCGUAAACGAUGAGUGGUAAGUGUUAGAGGGUUUCCGCCCUUUAGUGGUGCAGCAAACGCAUUAAGCACUCCGCCUGGGGAGUACGGUCGCAAGACUGAAACUCAAAGGAAUUGACGGGGGCCCGCACCAGCGGUGGAGCAUGUGGUUUAAUUUGAAGCAACGCGAAGAACCUUACCAGGUCUUGACAUCCUCUGACAACCCUAGAGAUAGGGCUUCCCCUUCGGGGGCAGAGUGACAGGUGGUGCAUGGUUGUUGUCAGCUCGUGUCGUGAGAUGUUGGGUUAAGUCCCGCAACGAGCGCAACCCUUGAUCUUAGUUGCCAGCAUUCAGUUGGGCACUCUAAGGUGACUGCCGGUGACAAACCGGAGGAAGGUGGGGAGGACGUCAAAUCAUCAUGCCCCUUAUGACCUGGGCUACACACCUGCUACAAUGGGCAGAACAAAGGGCAGCGAAGCCGCGAGGGUAAGCCAAUCCCACAAAUCUGUUCUCAGUUCGGAUCGCAGUCUGCAACUCGAAUGCGUGAAGCGGAAUCGCUGUAAUCGCGGAUCAGCAUGCCGCGGUGAAUACGUUCCCGGGCCUUUACACACCGCC
rnacentral:rRNA from 1 species